AGGAGAAUUCAGCCGCUUUGAUUUCUCCGAAGCUUUACCCGCUCCUUUAAAUGGAAUUUUAGCCAUCUUAAAGAAUAACGAAAUGCUUACAUGGCCAGAGAAAGUCAAAUUUGCAAUUGGACUCUUGCCAGCAAUGCUUGGAGGGCAAUCUUAUGUUGAAGCUCAAGAUGGGAUAAGUGUUAAGGACUGGAUGAGAAAGCAAGGUGUGCCGGACAGGGUGACAGAUGAGGUGUUCA
rnacentral:misc_RNA from 1 species